rnacentral:lncRNA from 1 species
UCUAUAGGAUUGAUUUUUCCCAAAUCUGCCCAUGAAGUGGCCAUUUAUAGGGAUAACAUUUCUGCCUGGAAAACUGAUGGAAGAACCCAGCUCCUCCAGGAAGUCUUCCUUGUUAAGGUAGGAGAAGAGAGGAUUUUCUUAUGCUUUGAUCAUCCCAUCACACUGCCAAGACUUGUCUCCCCUUACCAAUUCCUUAACCGUUUUAUGCAGCACUUUAUAGUCCUUUCCCAGCACCCCACAAAUUAACUGAACUAGGUCCAUUUGGUUUCUUCAGGUCUCUCC